rnacentral:lncRNA from 1 species
GCAUUGUCCACAUUCUGAAUUUAAACCACUAGCUUUUUUAUACACAAGGGCUUGUCCUGGGAGAGCCCUAUAUAGGCAUGAGCACUACUGCUACAAACUUUAAUCCCCCAUUUUCCGGCCUGCAGAGCAUUAGAAAAAAGUUCAAUUUUGGAAAUUCAUUCAGUUCUCUGGUUAGUAGACUAGUGGUUCAUCUUGCUAAAUCUUGUGGUUUAAAGUUUCUUUUUUGUUACAACAGUUCAGUGUGUAUUUUAAGAAGAAAACCCAACAAUGGCGGCUGCACUGGAGCCGCAGGACUACUAUUGCUGAUAGGUUUGUGAACUAAUAAACAUUCUUUUUAUGUUCCUGUGAUGUUUCAUAUUUUUGUGAACUGAUAGUUGAUGCUCUUUGUGGACUGAUAGCUGAUACUUUUUGUUAACCGAUAAACUGAAUAAAUGAGAUGGAUGUAUUAUCAGGCCGUGAAAAUGAUUUAAAAAAUAUGUGCAGUUCAGCGGAUGAGUAUUAUGUAUGUCCUUCUAAUCUGAAGGUAGUGGCACCACUAAGAAAAACAAAAUAAUCAGUUUUUUUGUAGCUACGGAAUGAGCAUUUGGCUCAGUAAUCUUCCAUUGCUAGAGGUACUGCCUCUUGAGUUAAUUUAUGAAACUGAAAUCAUCCUUUUUAUAUUUUUGUGUUGUCAAAUAAAACCAAUUUUUUUGGACAUGCAGCGCUCAAGCCGUUCACCCUUACCACCACAACCCGUUCACUUCCGCCACACGAGGCCGUGCGACGAUGCAACUAUCAGAACGUUCACCUCUGCCACAGGAGGCCGAUGCAACGCUAAGAAUGUUUUGUUCUUUUUCAAUACAUGUUUUGUGUGCUUUUUAGUACACCUACUUAACGAUUCUAUGUCCAAUUUCCCCUGUUUAAGUGUUCUUCCUAUAGCACAACAGGAGUUGUGUGUUAUGCUUGAUAAGCAUUUGAGAAAACCUUGUAUGGAUCGAAACUAGCAUAUGUUCUGUUCUAUUCUUGUAAAUGAAGCUCCACUUUUGUUUUGUUUGAGGUUACUUGAAAUAAAAAUUAGUAUAUGUUCU